rnacentral:tRNA from 1 species
ACUUCUGUAGCUCAGUGGAUAGAGCAUGAGGGUGGUAAUCUCAAGUCUUGAGUUCGAAUCUCAUCAGAGGCC